AUUUAAUUUAAUUAGAAAAACGAAAUACAUUAUUAAUUUCCGAAAAAGUAACCAAUUAAAACCAACAAAUUAGAUUUGAUAUCUAAAUUAUCU
rnacentral:sRNA from 1 species